AGACACGGCCCAUACUCCUACGGGAGGCAGCAGCAGGGAAUAUUGCACAAUGGACGGAAGUCUGAUGCAGCGACGCCGCGUGAAUGAGGAAGGCCUUCGGGUUGUAAAUUCUUUUAGCGGGGAAGAGGAAGGACGGUACCCGUUGAAUAAGCGUCGGCUAACUACGUGCCAGCAGCCGCGGUAAGACGUAGGACGCAAGCGUUAUCCGGAUUUACUGGGCGUAAAGCGUCUGUAGGCGGAUUGGUAAGUUGGGCGUGAAAGCUCCGGGCUUAACCCGGAGAGGCCGUUCAAUACUGCUAAUCUAGAGGGUGUCAGAGGGGAGCGGAAUUCCUGGUGUAGCGGUAAAAUGCGCAGAUAUCAGGAGGAACACCGGUGGCGAAGGCGGCUCCCUAGGGCAAACCUGACGCUGAGAGACGAAAGCUAGGGGAGCGAACAGGAUUAGAGACCCUGGUAGUCCUAGCCCUAAACGAUGAAUGCUAGGUGUGGGGCCGAACGGCUCUGUGCCGCAGCUAACGCGAUAAGCAUUCCGCCUGGGGAGUACGACCGCAAGGUUAAAACUCAAACGAAUUGACGGGGCCCCGCACAAGCAGCGGAGCGUGUGGUUUAAUUCGAUGCUACACGAAGAACCUUACCUGGGUUUGACAUGCACGUGGUAAGAAGCCGAAAGGUGACUGACCCUUCGGGGAGCGUGUACAGGUGCUGCAUGGCUGUCGUCAGCUCGUGCCGUGAGGUGUCGGGUUAAGUCCCGUAACGAGCGCAACCCUUGCCCUUAGUUAUACGUGUCUAGGGGGACUGCCGGCGGAAAGCCGGAGGAAGGUGGGGAUGACGUCAAGUCAGCAUGGCCUUUAUGUCCAGGGCUACACACACGCUACAAUGGUCGGUACAAAGGGCAGCCAAACCGCGAGGUGGAGCGAAUCCCACAAAAGCCGGUCGUAGUUCGAAUUGCAGGCUGCAACCCGCCUGCAUGAAGCUGGAGUUGCUAGUAACCGCGCGUCAGCUAUAGUGCGGUGAAUACGUUCCCGGGGCUUGUACACACCGCCCGUCACGUCAUGGGAGUCGGUAACGCCUGAAGCCGGUGGUCUAACCUUAACGGGGGGACGCUGUCGAAGGCGGGACUGGCAACUGGGACGAAGUCGUAACAAGGUAGCGGUACCGGAAGGUGCGGCUGG
rnacentral:rRNA from 1 species